rnacentral:lncRNA from 1 species
CUCCAAGAGUGACUGUAUUUUUAUUCUCGAGUGCUGUAUCAGGAAUUUUCAGCACUAAGAAUUCAUAUUUCUUUUCAUUCCAUGAACCAGAAAAGGCUUACAAUUCUGUGAAAUGUAAUGUACAGGUCUAAUAGGAUUGUACUCUUGCCUGAUGUCACGGUAAUGAAUAAAUGAAAUAGAGAAUUGCUGACACAAUAGGAAACCGCUAGUUCAACGCAAAUAAGUCUCUGUAAAUAAAUCUGAAGUAAUUUCUCUACACAUCUUAGCUACUGCUUUAAGCUCUGCUCACAGUCAGGAGGUGGCAUGGCAUUAACAGAGGAAAAAAAAAAACAAACACAUAUAGCUACCUCCACUGUGUGUUACAGCAUAUUGCAGCUCAAGGUAGGAGUGACUUGAUGGUUCCACUCUAAAAUGCCUUGUUUAGUAACAAACUCCCCUUGCAGCCCACAUAUUAAAAAGUGCAAAAUGGCCCAUCCCAAUCAUGUAGAAGAAGAAUCUGUGAAGUGACGCAAUACUCCUGUGCACAGUUUCAAGGCUGCUGCAACAUGGCUGGCACCACCUUCGGUACAAGGAAGGGAAGCAACUCCUUGCCUCCACAGGGGGAGAAACUACUUCUGAACCAGAUUCUCAGCUGUACUGAUCCUAAGGAAAUGAGUGCCAUUCCUACCACACCUACGAAAACAUUCCCUGUUUUGGAAGUCAGCAGUGGCUCAAAGGGACCAGUUGCAAUACCAAAACAGCAUGCUGGAAGCAACCCAAAUCGUGGCAAGCAAAUCACAUCCACUCAUCUGGGAAUUAAUUCUGUUAGCGCUGCAUCUGGAGACAGAUGACUGAUACACUGGUGAAGGGAAGAUCCUGCAGAUUAUCCAGCCUGGACAGACACCCCAGACACCCACUCUUACACCAGAAAGCAGCUCAACACUGGGCAAUCGGGUGGUGCAAGAUGGUCAUCUCCACUAGCUGUCACAGAAGGCACUGCUGAUGUCCUAAGGAGUUACUUAAUAUUAUGGAGUUCCCUUGCCCUUAGUAUCUGGGUGGUUUUAACCACACUAUUUUCAGUGCACAUCACAUUUAGAAAUACACUAGGAUGUUUUACUUAUUAGAAAUGCAAUAGCUGUUAAAUUGUAUUAGUUAUUGACCUUAGCAGCAAUAAACUGUAGCGGGAGUAGUCUACA